rnacentral:rRNA from 1 species
CAAUAGCGUAUAUUAAAGUUGUUGCAGUUAAAAAGCUCGUAGUUGGAUUUCUGGGGCAAGCUCCUGGUCCGCCGCCUUUGUGCGGUGCUGACUGAGUGCAGCGUUGUCUCAUCCUUGUGGGAAUUCCGGUUUGGGCUUCGUUGUCCGGCCGGCGGAACCGCAUCUUUUACUGUGAAAAAUUAGAGUGUUCAAAGCAGGCUAGCGCUUGAAUACAUUAGCAUGGAAUAAUGGAAUAGGACUUUGGUGCUAUUUUGUUUGGUUUAUUGGGACCGAAGUAAUGAUUAACAGGGACAGUUGGGGCCGGUUUAUAUUUCGUUGUCAGAGGUGAAAUUACUUGGAUUUACGAAAGAUAAACUUACUGCGAAAGCAUUCGGCAAGGAUGUUUUCAUUGAUCAAGAACGAAAGUUAGGGGAUCGAAGACGAUCAGAUACCAU